rnacentral:sRNA from 1 species
GCUGUGGGAAGGAAAGAUUUCCACCCCCAUUUUACAGCUGUGCCAACUGAGGCUCUCAGAAGCAAAGGGAUUUCCUUGACCAAGGUCACCCAGGGAGUCUUCUCUCCUAGUCUGGUGGUCCGGCCCUCAGCGGCCUCCAGGCACCACGCGUUGGGAAGCUCUGCUUGCGCUGGGCAGAGCCUGCUUGUUUCGGGUGGGGUGUGGGGAAGUAGGAAGGGGGGCUUCUCUUCCUGGCUGAGUCUGCUCAUGCCCCCAGGGUCUGACUUUGUUUUUAUCUGCAAAAGGGAGUGUCUCUUCCUGCAAACAGAUCCCUGGGGCUCUUAGACCAAGGUCAGGGGUUGUGAGUCCCGGCCCAGCCCCUCCACCCCCCUGC